rnacentral:lncRNA from 1 species
CAUACUUACUCUUAGGGAGCGCGGGGAGAGGAAGAGGAAGUUAUAUUUGCGUUAUGUUAAUUAAAAAAAUAAUGCGUGUUCAAUUGUAAUAAAGAUCUGUAUAUGAUAACUGUGUUUGCGUUUAAUUCAUGAGAGGAGGGAGGAAAUCACACAUUUUUCUCUAGAAGAAUUUUUACACUAGGAGAGACUUCGAGAACUUUCAGAUCCCUCCUGAUAAUUGUAUUGCUAAGAAGAACGGAGGAAAGAUUACAACUUCUAUCAAGGCGUUACCUCACUAACAGAAAAAAACCUAAUGUAUUUUGUUGUAAGCUGUCAAUUUCCUCGUCUUGCUUCUUACGUCAUGGAUAUUUCAUAGUUUAUUCUUUUAUAUAUAUAUACAAAGUCGACAAUUUGAUAAAUUUGGGAAUUUAAAGCAAUGGUGGAACAACCGAACAAUUGCCGAAUUUCAUAAUGCAGCCCAAUGCAUUAUAGAUCAAUAUUCUACUUAUAUGAUCUCUGAUAUUCAACUUAAUAUCAAUGGUCGUAUGACACAAGGAGAAAAUAUAGCUGAUAAUGGAGGCUUAAAGCAAGCUUUUAGGGUAAGUCAAUUUGUAUUUAUACUAUAUUUGGAUUAGACUUGAUUGAACUUUCAAUUUUAAACAAUAUGAUAUCAAAUAUUAACUCAUCAAUUUUGG